GAAAAUUAUAUUAAGUAUGAAAAAAGCCAUCCUGAAAAUACCAACCAUGCCAUACAACCAAGCCAUACAUGCAAAAAAUAGCAUGUGCUUCUUCUUCUAUUGACACUUGCCUUUUAUCAACAAGAUCAGUUUUAUUCCCAACUGGUACUCUCUCUCUCUUCUAAUUUGAUGAUUGUUGAUUGAUGUUGUUGAAUUGCAGAGUGCAGGAGCGAACAUGAGUCGAGGAACAGCUGCGGGGCCCAAGGGGAAGAAGAAGGGAGCGACGUUCGUG
rnacentral:lncRNA from 1 species